rnacentral:tRNA from 2 species
GCCCCCGUAGCUCAAUCGGUAGAGCGUGAGACUCUUAUCGGGUUCUCCGUCAUCUCAAGGUUGCGGGUUCGACCCCCGCCGAGGGCU